rnacentral:rRNA from 1 species
AGCGAACGCUGGCGGCAGGCCUAACACAUGCAAGUCGAACGGAUCCUUCGGGAUUAGUGGCGGACGGGUGAGUAACACGUGGGAACGUGCCCUUUGGUUCGGAACAACUCAGGGAAACUUGAGCUAAUACCGGAUGUGCCCUUCGGGGGAAAGAUUUAUCGCCAUUGGAGCGGCCCGCGUCUGAUUAGCUAGUUGGUGAGGUAACGGCCCACCAAGGCGACGAUCAGUAGCUGGUCUGAGAGGAUGAUCAGCCACACUGGGACUGAGACACGGCCCAGACUCCUACGGGAGGCAGCAGUGGGGAAUCUUGCGCAAUGGGCGAAAGCCUGACGCAGCCAUGCCGCGUGAAUGAUGAAGGUCUUAGGAUUGUAAAAUUCUUUCAGCGGGGACGACAAUGACGGUACCCGCAGAAGAAGCUCCGGCUAACUUCGUG